AGUGAACGCUGGCGGUAGGCCUAACACAUGCAAGUCGAACGGCAGCACAGUAAGAGCUUGCUCUUACGGGUGGCGAGUGGCGGACGGGUGAGGAAUACAUCGGAAUCUACUUUUUCGUGGGGGAUAACGUAGGGAAACUUACGCUAAUACCGCAUACGACCUACGGGUGAAAGCAGGGGAUCUUCGGACCUUGCGCGAUUGAAUGAGCCGAUGUCGGAUUAGCUAGUUGGCGGGGUAAAGGCCCACCAGGGCGACGAUCCGUAGCUGGUCUGAGAGGAUGAUCAGCCACACUGGAACUGAGACACGGUCCAGACUCCUACGGGAGGCAGCAGUGGGGAAUAUUGGACAAUGGGCGCAAGCCUGAUCCAGCCAUACCGCGUGGGUGAAGAAGGCCUUCGGGUUGUAAAGCCCUUUUGUUGGGAAAGAAAAGCAGCAGGUUAAUACCCCGCUGUUCUGACGGUACCAAAAGAAUAAGCACCGGCUAACUUCGU
rnacentral:rRNA from 1 species